ACUAUUAAACUAAAAAUUAUAUAUCUCCCUAUUCAUUCAUAAGUCUCAUAUUUAUAAAUUUUUUUUAGCUUGAGCAAUAGAUUGAGCUAGGAGAUUUUUGCUCCUUCCUUCAGUGUCCACUGGGACGUUUUAGUGAUGAAUUGUGGUCUAUUUCACUUUUAACAUUGUUGAAAGUACAAGAAAACAUGUUAUUCAAAAGGACUUAAAGUUGAUGAUGCUUAAAGAGAUAAUUAUUUUCUGUCUUCAAUGUAAUAUAAAUGCAGG
rnacentral:lncRNA from 1 species